rnacentral:rRNA from 1 species
GACGAACGCUGGCGGCGUGCUUAACACAUGCAAGUCGAACGGAAAGGCCCUGCUUUUGUGGGGUGCUCGAGUGGCGAACGGGUGAGUAACACGUGAGUAACCUGCCCUUGACUUUGGGAUAACUUCAGGAAACUGGGGAUAAUACCGGAUAGGAGCUCCUGCUGCAUGGUGGGGGUUGGAAAGUUUCGGCGGUUGGGGUUGGACUCGCGGCUUAUCAGCUUGUUGGGGGGGUAGUGGCUUACAAAGGCUUUGAAGGGUAGCCGGCCUGAGAGGGUGACCGGCCACAGUGGGACUGAGAUACGGCCCAGACUCCGACGGGAGGCAGCAGUGGGGAAUAUGGCACAAUGGGCGGAAGCCUGAUGCAGCAACGCCGCGUGCGGGAUGACGGCCUUUGGGGUGUAAACAGCUUUCGCGUGUGACGACGCGUGUGUGAGGGUAAUGGGUAAAGAAGCACCGGCUAAUUCCUU